AUUGAACGCUGGCGCAUGCCUUACCCCUGCCAGUCGCACGGCAGCACGGGUGCUUGCACCUGGUGGCGAGUGGCGAACGGGUGAGUAGUACCUUGGAACAUGUCCUGUAGUGGGGGAUAGCCCGGCCAAAGCCGGAUUAAUAACGCAUACGAUCCACGGAUGAAAGCGGGGGGCCUUCGGGCCUCGCGCUAUAGGGUUGGCCGAUGGCUGAUUAGCUAGUUGGGGGGGUAAAGGCCUACCAAGGCGACGAUCAGUAGCUGGUCUGAGAGGACGACCAGCCACACUGGGACUGAGACACGGCCCAGACUCCUACGGGAGGCAGCAGUGGGGAAUUUUGGACAAUGGGCGAAAGCCUGAUCCAGCAAUGCCGCGUGUGUGAAGAAGGCCUUCGGGUUGUAAAGCACUUUUGUCCGGAAAGAAAUCCUUGACUCUAAUACAGUCGGGGGAUGACGGUACCGGAAGAAUAAGCACCGGCUAACUACGUG
rnacentral:rRNA from 1 species